rnacentral:rRNA from 1 species
AUAAUGCAGUCGAGCGGACAGAAGGGAGCUUGCUCCCGGAUGUUAGCGGCGGACGGGUGAGUAACACGUGGGUAACCUGCCUGUAAGACUGGGAUAACUCCGGGAAACCGGAGCUAAUACCGGAUAGUUCCUUGAACCGCAUGGUUCAAGGAUGAAAGACGGUUUCGGCUGUCACUUACAGAUGGACCCGCGGCGCAUUAGCUAGUUGGUGAGGUAACGGCUCACCAAGGCGACGAUGCGUAGCCGACCUGAGAGGGUGAUCGGCCACACUGGGACUGAGACACGGCCCAGACUCCUACGGGAGGCAGCAGUAGGGAAUCUUCCGCAAUGGACGAAAGUCUGACGGAGCAACGCCGCGUGAGUGAUGAAGGUUUUCGGAUCGUAAAGCUCUGUUGUUAGGGAAGAACAAGUGCAAGAGUAACUGCUUGCACCUUGACGGUACCUAACCAGAAAGCCACGGCUAACUACGUGCCAGCAGCCGCGGUAAUACGUAGGUGGCAAGCGUUGUCCGGAAUUAUUGGGCGUAAAGGGCUCGCAGGCGGUUUCUUAAGUCUGAUGUGAAAGCCCCCGGCUCAACCGGGGAGGGUCAUUGGAAACUGGGAAACUUGAGUGCAGAAGAGGAGAGUGGAAUUCCACGUGUAGCGGUGAAAUGCGUAGAGAUGUGGAGGAACACCAGUGGCGAAGGCGACUCUCUGGUCUGUAACUGACGCUGAGGAGCGAAAGCGUGGGGAGCGAACAGGAUUAGAUACCCUGGUAGUCCACGCCGUAAACGAUGAGUGCUAAGUGUUAGGGGGUUUCCGCCCCUUAGUGCUGCAGCUAACGCAUUAAGCACUCCGCCUGGGGAGUACGGUCGCAAGACUGAAACUCAAAGGAAUUGACGGGGGCCCGCACAAGCGG